rnacentral:rRNA from 1 species
UACAGAGGGUGCAAGCGUUAAUCGGAAUUACUGGGCGUAAAGCGUGCGUAGACGGUUAUGUAAGUCAGAUGUGAAAGCCCCGGGCUCAACCUGGGAAUUGCAUUUGAGACUGCAUAGCUAGGGUGCGGAAGAGGGAAGCGGAAUUUCCGGUGUAGCGGUGAAAUGCGUAGAUAUCGGAAGGAACACCAGUGGCGAGAGCGGGUCUCUGGGCCGAUACUGACGCUGAGGAGCGAAAGCGUGGGGGGCGAACAGG